AUGAUGGUCGAGGGAUCUGAUGAGGAUAUCCAGAACCUUAAAUUCCUCCUCUGCUUCCAGGAGAUGUCGGGCCUCAAAAUAAACUUUGGCAAGAGCGAGGUAAUGGUCAUGGGAUAUUCCCAAAGGGAGGCCCAGCGGAUUGCUAAUCGUCUGAAUUGCCGCUUGGGCUCCUUCCCGACGACUUAUCUUGGCGUGCCCCUUAGCGAUGCACGACUCCUGGAAAAGGAUUUCCGCCCAAUAGUCGCCAAGCUCCAACCUAGAAUGGAGCCUUGGCAAGGGAGAUGGCUUUCUAAAGCCGCUCGAGUGAUUCUGAUGAACUCCUCCCUUAUUAGCCUACUGAUGUAUAUAAUGGGAUUCUAUAGUCUUCAUGAAUCCCUUCAUCAGGAAAUUACCAAACUGCUUUCCCGCUUCUUUUGGGCGGGAGAGAACAAUAAGCAGAAGUACCAUAUGGUCAAAUGGUCUGAGAUCUACAAACCUAAGGACCAAGGAGGCUUGGGAGUCAUCUCCUCCAAGCGUAUGAACAUUGCCCUCCUGUCCAAAUGGCUUUGGCGGAUCCAGACGGAGGAGGGUGGCCUGUGGCUUCAGAUUAUUCGUAGGAAGUACCUUCGUGGGCAACCACCCGCGUUUGCCUCUAGGGCUGGAGGAUCCCAAUUCUGGCAAUCGGUGAUAUCUUUGCUUCCGGUCCUACGCAUUGGGACCUCCAUCCAGAUAGGCUCUGGAUCUACCACCCUCUUUUGGCUGGACCGAUGGGCGGGACCCCGCCCCUUUGCAGAGCGUUUUUACGCGUUAUUUUCUAUCUGUGUUCGCCCACAGAUCUCUGUGGCUGCGGCAUUAGAGAACCUAAGUGCGAUUGCCUUUCGUCGCACCUUCGGGGCGAUCGAACUUGCGCAAUGGGACGAGUUACUGGAAUGCAUUGCCCUUCAUCCUCCUUCUCUGGAACCGGAUUCGCUAUCCUGGUACCUCGAGCCAAGCAGUAGAUUUUCGACUAGAUCCCUGUACCAGGCGAUUGUGCCUACGCCUGGUCCAGUGGAGCUCACGGUGCUUUGGGAGAUCAAACUCCCCCUAAAGAUCCGUAUAUUCUUAUGGCAAUGGGUUAGAGGACGCCUCCCCUCGGGCACUGAGGUCCGUAAGCGUAAUGGACCCGGGGACGGUCUUUGCCCCAUUUGUCUGGUUCCGGAAGACUGCAACCACAUCUUCUUCCGGUGCCCGGCGGCACAGUUUUUAUGGAGCUGCUUUCGGGAGGUAGUUGGAGGCACAUGGUGCCAUGACAACCUACCGGAUUUGUUCGGGGAGGCCCUCCGGCUUCCCGGGUCCAGGCGCGCCCCUAUUUGGGUCGCGCUAGGCACCUUUGCCUGGUCCCUUUGGUGUACCCGCAAUAAAUUAGUCGUCAAACGAGUGAUUCCGUCCCGUGUGACUGAUGUGAUCUACAAAAUGUGUGACCUCCUGCAGCUUUGGAGACCGCUUAGUAAGCGGAGCGAUCGAGCCGUCAUCAACAGCAUCAUGGCGGGUCUUCGUGCCUCGGCGGCGUCCUUUGCUCCUCCUCCGCCACCUCCACCGCCCCCUCCUGAGCCAGAUUAG
rnacentral:rRNA from 1 species